UAAACAGAUUAUUUGCCUGAAAAGGCAAUGGCUGGUGACUUUAAAGUCACCGGCCU
rfam:Colwellia sp. PAMC 20917, complete genome.